rnacentral:lncRNA from 1 species
GGUUCUUAAGAAACUAAAUCGAAACAAUUCGAUGGUAGCGUCAAAAACCAAAUCGUCAAACUAAGGUAGAUAGAUAGAUAGUGAAGAAUUUCUUUAACCAAAUCGUUUUUUUUUUUUUUUUUUUUUUUUGAAAGAUCUUUUGCGAUUUCUCUUUUUUUUUCUUUUUUUUUUUUUUUUUUUUUUUGAUCUUCGAUUUCCUUUUUUUUUUUUUUUUUGAAUUGGUUUCUUACAAAAGAUAGAAAGAAAAGAUAU